GCCUUGAUGAUGAGUACAAAUGUCUGAGGAUGCUGAGUGACUCAUACAAAUGGUCCAGAUGUGUGGU